rnacentral:rRNA from 1 species
UACGUAGGGUGCAAGCGUUGUCCGGAAUUAUUGGGCGUAAAGAGCUCGUAGGCGGCCUGUCGCGUCGGCUGUGAAAACCCGAGGCUCAACCUCGGGCCUGCAGUCGAUACGGGCAGGCUAGAGUUCGGUAGGGGAGACUGGAAUUCCUGGUGUAGCGGUGAAAUGCGCAGAUAUCGGGAAGAACACCCGUGGCGAAGGCGGCUCUCUGGGACGGUACUGACGCUGAGACGCGAAAGCGUGGGGAGCGAACAGG